rnacentral:rRNA from 1 species
ACAAGCGGUGGAGCGAUGUGGUUUAAUUCGAUGCAACGCGAAGAACCUUACCUGGUCUUGACAUCCCGGAGACCCUUAGGAAACUAGGGGGUGGCUUCCAUCUGGAAGAAUCUGGAGACAGGUGCUGCAUGGCUGUCGUCAGCUCGUGUCGUGAGAUGUUGGGUUAAGUCCCGCAACGAGCGCAACCCUUGCCUUUAGUUGCCAGCAGUUCGGCUGGGCACUCUAAAGGGACUGCCGGUGUUAAACCGGAGGAAGGUGGGGAUGACGUCAAGUCCUCAUGGCCUUUAUGACCAGGGCUACACACGUACUACAAUGGCCGAUACAAAGGGCAGCGACACUGCGAGGUGAAGCCAAUCCCGUAAAAUCGGUCUCAGUCCGGAUUGGAGUCUGCAACUCGACUCCAUGAAGUUGGAAUCGCUAGUAAUCGUGGAUCAGCAUGCCACGGUGAAUACGUUCCCGGGCCUU